CAAAGACCGAAGUGAUCGAGGACCUCGCUGAGCUCCUGAGGUGGCCCCUGCUUUGAGCUGCCACGUGGGGCUGGACGGGCCUGCAGCAGUCAGUCUCGAUUCUGUUUCUGUCUCUCCAGGAGCAAGUAUUUCCUAGGUGACUCUCCAGGAGUCUGCCACUCGCGUCUGAAGAGGAACUGGAAGUGCCACGGUGUCUCCUGUCUCCAUCUCUGGCUGUGGGCGUCAGGCUCAGCGCUUUACAGACGCGACCUCGGCAAGGCCGAAAACUCCGUGCAGACAGCCAAGUCGUGCGCAUCAGAGCUGCCGGGGCCCGAGCCUCAGGCUUGGCAGGUCUGCGCAGACAGGCCCGGUGACGCGCAGCUGCUGCAGGCUGAGAAUUGGCCCCUGGGCGCGAGGCCGCCACGGAGAGUAGCAGCCCCCAUGGACGUGACUGCGCGCCAGGGUACAUUUAACGGACUCCAGAGACCCGCCCUUGGCCAGGCAGUUCACGGCCCUCGAGGAGAAGUCCAAAAGAAAGAAGGAACAACAGCCGACACAAACCUUGCCCCCGGAGUGUUACAGAGUUAA
rnacentral:lncRNA from 1 species